rnacentral:rRNA from 1 species
GUGAAAAUAGGCAARUCCAACUUAACUUGGAGUCAGAACUCUCACUUUCUAACCCUGUGCACUUGUUUGGGAUAGUAACUCUCGCAAGAGAGCGAMCUCCUAUUCMCUUAUAAACACAAAGUCUAUGAAUGUAUUAAAUUUUAUAACAAAAUAAAACUUUCAACAACGGAUCUCUUGGCUCUCGCAUCGAUGAAGAACGCAGCGAAAUGCGAUAAGUAAUGUGAAUUGCAGAAUUCAGUGAAUCAUCGAAUCUUUGAACGCACCUUGCGCUCCAUGGUAUUCCGUGGAGCAUGCCUGUUUGAGUGUCAUGAAUACUUCAACCCUCCUCUUUCUUAAUGAUUGAAGAGGUGUUUGGUUUCUGAGCGCUGCUGGCCUUUACGGUCUAGCUCGUUCGUAAUGCAUUAGCAUCCGCAAUCGAACUUCGGAUUGACUUGGCGUAAUAGACUAUUCGCUGAGGAAUUCUAGUCUUCGGAUUAGAGCCGGGUUGGGUUAAAGGAAGCUUCUAAUCAGAAUGUCUACAUUUUAAGAUUAGAUCUCAAAUCAGGGAGGACUWCCCGCUGAACAAAAGCWWAUCAAUAAGCGGAGGAAAGUAAGUUUGUUGGGUAUGUUUGUUGUUGAGGUUUUUGUUGUUGCUUCGUUUGUCUGGUGGUGGUUUUCUUUUUGUGUG